GGGUCCGUAGCUUAGUGGUAAAGCAGCUCCCUCUUAAGGAGACGACCGAGAGUUCGAAUCUCUCCGGGCCCACCA
rnacentral:tRNA from 2 species